AUCCUUUUGUAGUUCAUUAAAUGUGAUUGAGUAUUCAGAUGCAUGUGUGAGAUAUGCCACCCUUAAACCUUGCUGCGACACUGGCACAUUACCCAUAUGAUA
ensembl:snoRNA